rnacentral:rRNA from 1 species
AUGAACGCUGGCGGCGUGCCUAAUACAUGCAAGUCGAGCGAACGGACGAGAAGCUUGCUUUUCUGAUGUUAGCGGCGGACGGGUGAGUAACACGUGGAUAACCUACCUAUAAGACUGGGAUAACUUCGGGAAACCGGAGCUAAUCCCGGAUAAUAUUUUGAACCGCAUGGUUCAAAAGUGAAAGACGGUCUUGCUGUCACUUAUAGAUGGAUCCGCGCUGCAUUAGCUAGUUGGUAAGGUAACGGCUUACCAAGGCAACGAUGCAUAGCCGACCUGAGAGGGUGAUCGGCCACACUGGAACUGAGACACGGACCAGACUCCUACGGGAGGCAGCAGUAGGGAAUCUGCCGCAAUGGGCGAAAGCCUGACGGAGCAACGCCGCGUGAGUGAUGAAGGUCUUCGGAUCGUAAAACUCUGUUAUUAGGGAAGAACAUAUGUGUAAGUAACUGUGCACAUCUUGACGGUACCUAAUCAGAAAGCCACGGCUAACUACGUG